CCCCUCUUAAGGUCACAUCUGGAGAGUUUCCAGUAGUCUACUAGUGUUGACUGUGGGAGGGAGAGUCAAGCAGAGGCCUACCCAUUCCAUUUCAAGCUUGGCCAGUGGCUAGUGAGUGGAAGGCCAUCUGCUACAAGU